GAUGAACGCUGGCGGCGUGCCUAAUACAUGCAAGUCGAGCGAACAGACGAGGAGCUUGCUCCUCUGACGUUAGCGGCGGACGGGUGAGUAACACGUGGAUAACCUACCUAUAAGACUGGGAUAACUUCGGGAAACCGGAGCUAAUACCGGAUAAUAUAUUGAACCGCAUGGUUCAAUAGUGAAAGACGGUUUUGCUGUCACUUAUAGAUGGAUCCGCGCCGCAUUAGCUAGUUGGUAAGGUAACGGCUUACCAAGGCAACGAUGCGUAGCCGACCUGAGAGGGUGAUCGGCCACGCUGGAACUGAGACACGGUCCAGACUCCUACGGGAGGCAGCAGUAGGGAAUCUUCCGCAAUGGGCGAAAGCUUGACGGAGCAACGCCGCGUGAGUAAUGAAGGUCUUCGGAUCGUAAAACUCUGUUAUUAGGGAAGAACAAAUGUGUAAGUAACUAUGCACGUCUUGACGGUACCUAAUCAGAAAGCCACGGCUAACUACGUG
rnacentral:rRNA from 1 species